rnacentral:rRNA from 1 species
UACGUAGGGGGCGAGCGUUGUCCGGAUUUAUUGGGCGUAAAGAGCUCGUAGGCGGUUCGGUAAGUCGAAUGUGAAAUCUCCACGCUCAACGUGGAGGGGUCAUUCGAAACUGCCGUGACUUGAGUACGGUAGGGGAGUGGUGGAAUUCUCGGUGUAGCGGUGAAAUGCGCAGAGAUCGGGAGGAACACCCGUAGCGAAGGCGGCACUCUGGGACGUUACUGGACGCUGAGACGCGAAAGCGUGGGGAGCAAACAGGG